CCAGACUCCUACGGGAGGCAGCAGUGGGGGAUAUUGCACAAUGGGGGGAACCCUGAUGCAGCGACGCCGCGUGAAGGAAGAAGCGUCUCGGCGUGUAAACCUCUAUCAGCAGGGAAGAAAGAGGACGGUACCUGACUAAGAAGCCCCGGCUAACUACGUGCCAGCAGCCGCGGUAAUACGUAGGGGGCGAGCGUUAUCCGGAUUUACUGGGUGUAAAGGGAGCGUAGACGGCAGUGCAAGCUCGGUGUGAAAGCUGGGGGCCCAACCCGCGGACUGCUCUGAGAACUGUAUGGCUGGAGUGCCGGAGGGGCAGGCGGAAUUCCUGGUGUAGCGGUGAAAUGCGUAGAUAUCAGGAGGAACACCGGUGGCGAAGGCGGCCUGCUGGACUGCGACUGACGUUGAGGCUCGAAAGCGUGGGGAGCGAACAGGAUUAGAUACCCCUGUA
rnacentral:rRNA from 1 species